GACGAACGCUGGCGGCGUGCUUAACACAUGCAAGUCGAACGGAAAGGCCCUGCUUUUGUGGGGUGCUCGAGUGGCGAACGGGUGUGUAACACGUGAGUAACCUGCCCUUGACUUUGGGAUAACUUCAGGAGACUGGGGAUAAUACCGGAUAGGAGCUCCUGCUGCAUGGUGGUGGUUGGAAAGUUUCGGCGGUGGGGGAUAGACUCGCGGCUUAUCAGCUGGUUGGUGGGGUAGUGGCUUACCAAGCCUUCGACGGGUAGCCGGCAUGGGAGGGGGGACGGGCACCAUGGGACUGAGAUACGGCCCAGUCUCCUACGGGAGGCAGCAGUCGGGAAUAUUGCACAAUGGGGGGAAGCCUGAUGCAGCAACGCCGCGUGCGGGAUGACGGCCUUCUGGUGGUAAACCGCUUUCGCCUGUAACGAAGCGUGAGUGACGGUAAUGGGUAAAGAAGCACCGGCUAACUACGUG
rnacentral:rRNA from 1 species